rnacentral:rRNA from 1 species
CACCGCGGUUAUACGAGAGACCCAAGUUGUUAGACACCGGCGUAAAGAGUGGUUAGGGAAACUCAUUCAACUAGAGCCGAACACCUUCAAAGCUGUCAUACGCACCCGAAGGUAAGAAGCCCAACUACGAAAGUGGCUUUAUGUUAACUGAACCCACGAAAGCUAGGGCA